AUAUCUCUCUGUACGGGAAGGAUGAGAAGCUUCGACUAAGGUUCGAUUCGAGCGCAGCGAGAAAGCGUUGCCGCAGGCAAC
rnacentral:sRNA from 5 species